GAAUGAACCGGCGAGUUACGAUCCCGUGCAAGGUUAAGCAGAAGAUGCGGAGCCGCAGCGAAAGCGAGUCUGAAUAGGGCGAAUUGAGUACGUGGUCGUAGACCCGAAACCAGGUGAUCUACCCAUGUCCAGGGUGAAGUUCAGGUAACACUGAAUGGAGGCCCGAACCCACGCACGUUGAAAAGUGCGGGGAUGAGGUGUGGGUAGGGGUGAAAUGCCAAUCGAACCUGGAGAUAGCUGGUUCUCUCCGAAAUAGCUUU
rnacentral:rRNA from 1 species